CCAAACAAACAGGUGACUCACAAUUAAUGAGGAGUGGAAAAACGUUGCAAAUUUUCCUAAUACUGGCCUGCUUCCUGGCGGGAAAUGGGGAAGUGCAACAAAUGAAUGAGAACAAUGCUCAUGCUCCUUAAUUCAAUCUCGUUGCUCUUUCUUUGACACUUGGUCUGUUCGUCAUAUAUGUAGGUCUACUCAAGACACUUUACACGAAUGAGAAUUAUGACGUACGGCUUGGUUGUUCCAUCCAUUACGUCGCAGGUGAACACAAACGCAGUGAAAAGACCAAUGGAGAAGAACAAAAACUGGAUUGUACGUCCCUCUCCUUUUUAUUUCUUCCGAGUACUUAAAACAUAAUCUUUUCUUCAAUCAAAAUAACGACUACAGAUGAAAUACGAUUAAAGGCGGCUCAAAAUAAACUACGUUUCUUGUU